rnacentral:sRNA from 1 species
GUCAGGGCCAGGGCCAGAGAGCCGGAGAGAGGAGCCCCCGACCGAGAGCCCAGGUGAGCCCACCCUUCCUCCCCAGCCCAGCCCCAGCCCAGCCCAGCUUGGCCCAGUCUCCAUAACAACAUCUCCUGGAGCCCGCAGAGAGAUCCCAGCCCUGCCCAAUCCCUUCACCACCACAAGCCCCUGCCUAUCUCGGGGACCCCCAAGAACUGGGAGACUUGUGGCUGGAAGGCAGAGACCCCCUCCCCCAGCCCAGACCCUCCCUCACAUAUCCAGAAAGGCACACACUGUGGGGAGGUAGAUACCCAGCCAGAGAAAGGUCCCACUUCUGAGGGAGGUACAGGAACUGUCACACCCUCCUGGAAACAGACACACGACAUGGGGGGACAGACACUGAGGGUGGGGCACUGAGACACACCAAUGCACACUCACUCAGGGAAGCAUGACAUGGGAUCAGACAGCCUCACCCUGAGAUCUGUACAGACACAGAUAGAUGAACUGACCGGCCAUGAACUCGGGCCGGCAUACCCCUGCCUGCUUCAGCCCGAGGCUUGGUACCACUGCUGGGGGAAGGUGGCAUGCGUGCAUCCCACGGGCAGCAUGGAGGGAGCCACGACUCCCCAAAAAUCCUGUCGCUAAGAGACAGUGCCAGUGCUGCCAAGAAGUGUGAAAACAGGGGAGGUGGGGAGGGAUGUGAGGCUUGUCACAGUUGGAGCUCCUGCCAGGAGCCUGAAGGAGCUUUCAUCAGAGCCCUGGUCCUGCCUCCCAGCCCACCACCACUCCUUUUCCAUCAGCUAGCCAGAAGGGGAAUGGGGGUAAGGAGUGGAUAGGGAUAGCCCAGCAGGGGACUUUCCAACCUGUCUCCUGCCCACUGCAGACUCCACUUCUGAGACCCAUCCUCUUCAGGCCUCCAGGGGCCUCUCCACCCCCUGCCCCACCCCCUUGCCCUAGUUUAGCUCCCUCGUGCCAAGACUGAGUGCAGCGCUGGCACAACACCAGUCGGGAAAUAGCAGAAGGUGCUGAGGCAGCAGAAAGUGUAGAUCAAUCGAUGGCCUAGGAGCCAAGACUGCCAGGAACAUCCCCACCCCAAUCCUUCAGCCCUCUCCAGCCCCAUCCACGCAUACCUAGGCCAGCAGCACAGGGCUUCUGUGCGGGAGUGGGAGGCUCAGGUCCUCUGCCCUCCCCUGCUCAGAACUCUGGUGAAGCUGAGCAGAGGCAGGGGAAGCAGGAGGUCCGUGAGGCCCCAGGGUCUAGGGAAGGAGGUUAAGGGGUGGGGCCCAGGGACCCCAGAGGAUAGACCCCUCUGCUGGCAGGUGUUCCCUUUCCAGGGUCCAGGCCACCUGCUCUGUCCCCACAGUGACAUGUCGGACCCUGAGAUGGGAUGGGUGCCUGAGCCCCCAACCAUGACGCUGGGGGCCUCUCGGGUGGAGCUGCGGGUGUCCUGCCAUGGCCUCCUGGACCGGGACACACUCACCAAACCUCACCCCUGCGUGCUGCUCAAGCUCUACUCUGAUGAGCAGUGGGUGGAGGUAGAGCGCACGGAGGUGCUUCGCUCCUGUUCCAGCCCUGUCUUCUCCCGGGUGCUGGCCCUUGAGUAUUUUUUUGAGGAGAAGCAGCCCCUGCAGUUCCACGUGUUCGAUGCCGAGGAUGGAGCCACCAGCCCCCGAAAUGAUACCUUCCUCGGCUCUACGGAGUGCACCUUGGGCCAGAUUGUGUCACAAACCAAGGUCACUAAGCCAUUACUGCUGAAGAAUGGGAAGACUGCGGGCAAGUCCACCAUCACGGUAGGCAAGAUCACCUGUACUCACCCUUGGUCCAGUUAUUCAAUGCCCCUGCAUGGACACCUAUGGUGACAUCAUGCCCAGGACCACCCCCACCUAAGGGAAAGGGGAUGGGGUGGCCCUUGUGGUAAGGAUAGGGGAGUCCUGCCACUUGUAUCCCCCUUGCAGAUCGUGGCCGAGGAGGUAUCAGGCACAAACGACUAUGUGCAACUCACCUUCAGAGCCUACAAGCUGGACAACAAGGUUGGAACCCCAGAGUUCAGGCCCCCAACUCCCCUGUCACUCCUAGGCCUCCCACCCAAGACAGAUCCCAGGAGCCCAGGCCUGCUCUCUUCCCAGUGUGAGCCCAUCCCCCACUCUCCUCGCAGCUCUCACCAACCUCAGGGGCCCUUUCUCCUGUAUCUUCAGGAUCUGUUCAGCAAGUCUGACCCUUUCAUGGAAAUCUAUAAGACCAACGAGGACCAAAGUGAUCAGCUGGUCUGGAGAACUGAGGUUGGUGCCUGGGGCUAUGGGGAUGAAGGGAGGGAGAGUAAAGUAAGAAAACCCAGACGGGAGCUGACCAGCCACCUGGUGCCUCUCCAAGGUGGUGAAGAACAACCUGAACCCCAGCUGGGAGCCGUUCCGCCUGUCCCUGCAUUCCCUAUGCAGCUGUGAUGUUCACCGACCUCUCAAGUUCCUGGUGUAUGACUAUGACUCCAGUGGGAAGCAUGACUUCAUCGGCGAGUUCACCAGCACUUUCCAGGAGAUGCAGGAAGGGACGGCAAACCCUGGGCAGGAGGUGCCACAAAUACCCCACCCCCAGAAUCCCACCCAGAUCCCUGGGAGAAUACUGAGGGUGAUGCUGAAGAGACCACCAUAGGUGAUAGGAAGUGGAGAGGGUGGAAAGCACCUGGGCUCAGCUGAAGGACUGAGCCAUGGGGGUCUUGCUCUGGGAGGCUCUGCUGGAAGGGAGAAAGAGGGGUCACCUGAUGGACUUGUGACCCUGAGCUUGUGGGGUGGGGUCUAGAUGCAGUGGGACUGUAUCAACCCCAAGUAUCGGGACAAGAAGAAGAAUUACAAGAGCUCAGGGACGGUAGUGCUGGCCCAGUGCACGGUAAAUUUCACUUCCUGCUUCAAGCUUUGCCCCAGCCCCUGCCCCUACCACACUCUCAGGUUCAACCCUUCCCUUGUUUCAAAGACCAGUUUCUCUGCUUCUGGGAACUGGGAACCAUCCCCAACUGCAACCCAAAAAACUCUGGCUCCCCCAUGUUCCCCACAGAAGCCCUACCCAAGCUCCCUCCUCAAAGGACCACCCCAUCCCCUCGCCUUACCCCUCUCCCUGCCUCCAGGUGGAGAAGGUGCACACCUUCCUGGAUUACAUCAUGGGUGGCUGCCAGAUCAGCUUCACGGUGGCCAUCGACUUCACCGCCUCCAAUGGAGACCCGAGGAGCAGCCAGUCCCUGCACUGCCUCAGUCCCCGACAGCCCAACCACUACCUGCAGGCCCUGCGUGCAGUGGGAGGCAUCUGCCAGGACUAUGACAGGUAGGAGGGAGUGGGGUGGGAGGGAACAGGCAGGGAGGCCUUGCCCGACGGAUUCCACAGCUUUUUCUUCUCCCCAGUGAUAAGCGGUUCCCAGCUUUUGGCUUUGGGGCUCGAAUCCCCCCCAACUUCGAGGUGUCCCAUGACUUUGCUAUCAACUUUGACCCGGAAAAUCCUGAAUGUGAAGGUAAAAGGGGAGAUUUUCACCUGCCUCGCCUCCCCCCAGACACACUCCACACAGGAGCACAGACUCCAUCCCCAAGGGCCCAGCUUCCUGUCCCUUCCACCCAUCCCAGGCCUGGUCGUUAUCAGGUGAGGCUUCCAGGGCCAAGGCCCAGCAUCUGCACCUAACUCUCCCCGCCAACGGAGCAUCCAACUCUCCCACUGCUUAAUGAAGGAACUCCAGGGGAGGGCAGUCCUCAGACCUGGAAGCAUUUCCUUGCUUUAAGGAAUGUCAGGAGGGGGCCCUGCUCAUUUCUGCCAGCUUCACAACUUCUCUUCACUCACAGAGAUCUCAGGGGUCAUUGCCUCCUACCGUCGUUGCCUGCCCCAGAUCCAGCUCUACGGCCCCACCAACGUGGCCCCCAUCAUCAACCGUGUAGCUGAGCCCGCCCAGCGGGAGCAGAGCACCGGCCAAGCCACGAAGUACUCGGUGCUGCUGGUGCUCACUGACGGUGUGGUGAGCGACAUGGCCGAGACUCGCACUGCUAUCGUGCGUGCCUCCCGCCUGCCCAUGUCCAUCAUCAUCGUAGGCGUGGGCAAUGCUGACUUCUCUGACAUGCGGCUGCUGGAUGGCGACGACGGUCCCUUGCGCUGCCCCCGAGGGGUGCCUGCAGCCCGAGACAUUGUCCAGUUCGUGCCCUUCCGAGACUUCAAGGAUGCUGCCCCCUCUGCACUCGCCAAGUGUGUCCUGGCUGAGGUGCCACGGCAGGUGGUGGAGUACUACGCCAGCCAGGGCAUCAGCCCUGGGGCUCCCAGGCCCUGCACACUGGCUACGACUCCCAGCCCUAGCCCGUGACUGCCACCCUCCGGACCGACACUCCCUCAGCCUCUCAGUGCCUGUCCUGACCCUCGUGACUCCAGUGACCAACGCCUCCACCUCUUGGACCAGCUGUGCCCCCUGGGUUCUGGACGUGAGUGGUGGGCCCUGCUCCUAUCUCUCCAAACCCCAUACCCUUCAAUGCUGUGGCCCCUCAGUGACUUCCUUGGGUGAUCCUGACUUUCUAGCCAUUAAUAAAGAGAACUGCUCCUAGC